AUGCCCGUAAGCUUUAAAUAUUGGGAUGACUGCUUGGAUCCGGAUGAUAUGCGAUUAAUGUGGGCAGAUCCUCAUGUAAGUAAAGAGUGGACUGACGCUGGGGAAGAACAGGGACAGAAAGUUCACCUAUCACGGGAUCCUGAUGGCGAGGCAUAUCUGACACAAACUGAAAUUAUGGUAGUUGCUGCAAUUACUGUUCAGAGGCAUUUCAAAUCACAGCUAGACCCGUAUAUGAUAGGUGCCCUUGCAGAAAUUGCGAGUGGAAAGAGGCUCUUUGUGGAUAACUAUGAUCGGAAGACUAAGGAGACUAAGAUGGGCAUAAUGCAGGUGACACCAGAAGUUGCUCAAUGGCUUGGCAGGGAACUGGGUUACAAAAAUUAUGACAUUGAACUUGAAGAUAAUAUUGAUUUACUAUACUGGCCUUUUAUAAAUGUCUACUUUGGUGCUGCUUAUGCAAAGUGGCUCUUCUCAUGUGAUGAAAAAGAAAGAACUGAAGAAUUUGUCGUUAGAGCUUACAAGGGAGGCAAAAAGAAAGCUACUCACAAGUCAUCUGCCCCCAUUUUCGAACGCUAUCUUUAUGUGAAAGAGACCUUGCUCUCUAUGAGACAACCAGACAGUUUAAACGAGCUGGCUCCUGAUCUCCUAGAAAAUUCCUCAACUGCAGGAACACAGCUGGUAUAUUGGGAUUCCAAAGUGUCAGUGGAAGAUCUGGAUGGAAUGUGGAGUCAGCCUGACGUGUUGAAGGAGUGGACAAAUUCUGGUGAGCGGCGUGGAAAUGUCAGAUUUUCGCAUGAUGCCAAGAAGAGACCGUAUCUUUCUCGAGUUGAGGUUAAGGCUGUUGCUGAAAUAAUCAUAUCUCGCCAUUUCAGCUCAAGAGGAGUAAAGCCGGAAGCCCUAGCUGCUCUCGCAGAGGUGUGCAGUAUGCGCUUUGUCCAUGGAGUACGUUCUCGGACAGGAUUGAUGGGAAUAGAUUACCCUACUGCCGCAUGGCUUUCCAGAGAUUGUGGCUAUACGGCAUACACAGUGAGCUCGGUGGAUGAUCUCUACAAUCCAUUUGCAUCAAUGUACUUUGGAGCAGCUUACUUGGGAUGGUUGUCACGAUAUGAAGGAAGGGAGAGAAGCCAUGAAUUCAUUGUUCAAGCUUAUCUUGCGGGACCAGACAAAGUUAACCUUCAGGAAACUGGACCGUAUUGGAAGAAAUUUCUGGAGGCUUUAAUACACUAUGAAGAUCCGAAGAAGGACCAGACGAGCUGCUGUAUUUUGUAA
rnacentral:rRNA from 1 species